GGCCUUAAUUGUGCAUGCUGGCUCAAUAAAAGGGCGGAGGAAUCAUACCUGACCCCACUUCAGUUCUCGACUGAGCACAUUCUCCGGUCGACCAUGGACAAGUGCAUUCUCCUUUUGCUUGCUGUGUCUUUUAUGCUACUGGUGACGAUGGCUGUAGCAAGAGCAGAGUCUGCACCAAGUCCAAUUCCUGUAGCAAGGUCAGAAGAAAGAUCAGAAAGUGUAUAUGACUAUCUGGAUUGAUCAGACCUUUCAGACGGAUCAGGGCUUCAUGUAAGCGGGUAGCACCCUUGAUGAAGAAUGUUUUUGAGCAAUUAUUCUACAACCUGCUUCCUAGCCUUGUUCCGCCAUCAGGUUCAAGUUGGAAGUAGGUAAGAAACAGCACACUCAAAAAAAUUAAUAAAAUAAAAUUAACAACAACAACGAAA
rnacentral:lncRNA from 1 species